rnacentral:rRNA from 1 species
ACUGCCGGUGAUAAACCGGAGGAAGGUGGGGACGACGUCAAGUCAUCAUGGCCCUUACGAGUAGGGCUACACACGUGCUCAAUGGCAUAUACAGAGGGCAGCGAGGCAGCGAUGUGGAGCGAAUCCCAGAAAGGAGCCUUAUUCAGGAUUGGAGUCGCAACUCGACUCCAUGAAGUCGGAAUCGCUAGUAAUCGUAGAUCAGAAUGCUACGGGGAAUACGUUCCCGGGCCUUGUACACACCGCCCGUCACACCAUGGGAGUGGGCUGCACCAGAAGUAGAUAGCUUAACCUUCGGGAGGGC